GAUGAAGAACGCAGCUAAAUGCGAUAAGUAGUGUGAAUUGCAGAAUUCAGUGAAUCAUCGAAUCUUUGAACGCACAUUGCGCCCCUUGGUAUUCCAUGGGGCAUGCCUGUUCGAGCGUCAUUUGUACCUUCAAGCUCUGCUUGGUGUUGGGUGUUUGUCUCGCCUCUGCGUGUAGACUCGCCUUAAAACAAUUGGCAGCCGGCGUAUUGAUUUCGGAGCGCAGUACAUCUCGCGCUUUGCACUCAUAACGACGACGUCCAAAAGUACAUUUUUACACUCUUGACCUCGGAUCAGGUAGGGAUACCCGCUGAACUUAAGCAUAUCAAUAAGCGGAGGA
rnacentral:misc_RNA from 1 species